CUCAUAGCGUAUAUUUAAGUUGUUGCAGUUAAAAAGCUCGUAGUCGGAUUUUGGCUGAGAACGAACGGUCCGCCGUUAGGUGUGCACUGUUUGGUCUCAGCUUCCUGGUGAGGAGGUGUGCUUCACGGCCACUUAGUCACCGUGGUUACUUUGAAAAAAUUAGAGUGUUCAAAGCGGGCUUACGCUUGAAUAUAUUAGCAUGGAAUAACACCAUAGGACUCCUGUCCUAUUUCGUUGGUCUCGGGACGGGAGUAAUGAUUAAGAGGAACAGUUGGGGGCAUUCGUAUUUCAUUGUCAGAGGUGAAAUUCUUGGAUUUAUGAAAGACGAACUUCUGCGAAAGCAUUUGCCAAGGAUGUUUUCAUUGAUCAAGAACGAAAGUUGGGGGCUCGAAGAUGAUUAGAUACCAUCCUAGUCUCAACCAUAAACGAUGCCGACUAGGGAUUGGCGGAUGUUAAUUGAUGACU
rnacentral:rRNA from 1 species